GGACCCCCUUCCAUUGAGGUGCAAACCGUCACGGCUGUAUAGGUAAUGAUAAUGCUCUUGUUAAAAUGCUUGUUAAAGCAGCAUCAACACUAUUACUGAUUGUUGGAUAUGUACACAUUCUCCUUUGUCAGCUGACAGUAUGACAUACAUAGCAGAAUCUCUAUCCUGUCAGGACAUAGUUAACAGUCCUUGAGGUAAUUUGACACCUCUCCAGUAUAACACUACACUUAUUCCAAUGGCCAUCUCAGGAUUCUGUGAAGCACCAGUAGUGUAUUUUCAUAAAACGGUGGCGCCCAAGGAUAUUGGUAAGUUGGUACACUUAUGUUCCGAUGGCCUUUGUAUCAACAGUUCAGCUAAUCAUCAUUUGUUGCUGUUGUUCUUGCUGUAACUCCUUAUUUUCUCACUCUUUUCUAAAGGCAAAUUCUUCUAGGCCUGUUCUGUUCUAUCCUAAGAACGCUAAAAGUCUGAAAUGACUUAAAUGAACCACCACAGUGUAUGAACAUUAUAUACCAGAUGUAUUCUCAUAUAGGUUGUAUGCAUAGCAUUUAUAAGGAAAAGUCUUGCAGGCCCUGCUUGGCCCCCUUAAUGGAGUGAACAGUUUCUGAGUGCCCAUGAGGCCCUUCUAGAAACUGUUCAAGGUUAUGUGUAACAUCUGUCGAGAAGGUUCUUAUCACUAUUCUGUUAUAUUUUGUAUUCCUGUAACAAUGUGUUCUGACCUUGAAGCACACACACACAGUGGUAUUCCCUAUUUCCUGGUGAUUGGGUGUUAGUCAAAGAAUUCCCAACAAAACACUCCCUGGAACCAACUUUUAAAAUAGAGUAGCACUUGGCAUGAUACUGGCUGAAAAGGGGGGUGUCUGUAAAAUGCUUGCCAACAAAAGCACCUGUUGCACAUAUAUCCCCGAUAAUACUGGUCCAAACAGCAAAGUAAUUAAUCUGUUCAUUAAGUUAAAGAAAAAUUCUGGAAUCACACAUCCUUGGGAUGAAUAUUUUGGAUGGAUGACAGGUUGGCAAAAGGUCUUAGCCCAGAUCAGUGUUACCUUAUUGAUUGUUUUGAUUUUUAUUUCAUUUAUUUUCUGCUGUGUAAUCCCUUACAUUAGGAAGUUGCUUUGUUCACUUAUUGCUUCUUCAGAAGGUUCACAACUCAAACUUAUUCAUGCUGCUCGUGUGUAGUCACUUGCGUGACUAAAGGGGGGAACUGAAAGGGUUAACUUCUAUCCUUGAAACUUCUGUCCUUGCUCAAACUUCUUUGUGCAAAACAUGCUUAUAUGGCACGUACUCCCCAGCUGGCCUGAGCAGCCCCCAAUGCCCUUGGGCGAAUAUGUUUCUUAUCUCUUCUUAUCACGCAUACCAGCACACCCCACUCUCACAACUUCUACAAUGUUUCUUUCUGCAGACACACAGAAUAAUACUUCUCAUUUUCCCUUAGGCUAAGGCAUACCUUUUGUAACACGUCAUAUUGGCUAUAUAAGCAACUGCUGUAACCCUAAUAAAUCGGAACUUGCUUUGCAACA